rnacentral:rRNA from 1 species
CGGGAAACUGGGGAUAAUACCCGAUAGUCCUCGGCUGCUGGAAUGCAUCGAGACCGAAAGCUCCGACGCUCAAGGAUGGGUCUGCGGCCUAUCAGGUAGUAGUGGGUGUAGCGUACCUACUAGCCUACGACGGGUACGGGUUGUGAGAGCAAGAGCCCGGAGAUGGAUUCUGAGACACGAAUCCAGGCCCUACGGGGUGCAGCAGGCGCGAAAACUUUACAAUGCUGGAAACAGCGAUAAGGGGACCUCGAGUGCCAGGUUACAAAUCUGGCUGUCGUGAUGCCUAAAAAGCAUUGCAUAGCAAGGGCCGGGCAAGACCGGUGCCAGCCGCCGCGGUAAUA